GCUAUCAUGAGGAAAACUGCUAUAAGCAUUUGCAUGUAAGUCUUUGUGUGAGUAGAUUUCUUGCUUUAGAACUUGUGGGUUUUCUAGAAAGUUUAUGUUUAACAUUUUAUGAAUAAUUUACAUACUGAUGGAAAUGUACAUUGUACUGCCAAACUGUUUUCCAAAACAGCAGUACAAUUUAUAUUCCCAUCAGUAAUGUACGAAGGGCUUAAGCUUCUCUGCACCUCACCAGUGUUUGUUUGCUAUUGUCUGUCUUUUUAUAAUAAUCAUUCUAGUGGGUAUGUAGUGAUAUCUCAUUGUGGUGUUAAUUUUUAUUUCCCUGAUGACUAUUAAUGUUGAGCAUCUCUAUAUGUGCUUAUUAGCCUUUCGUAUUUCUUGUUUGGUGAAAUGUGCACUCAAUUAUAUUUACAUAGUAUUAGAUACACACUACUUUAACAUCAUCUGAUACAGAACAGAUUUUGAAAAUGCAUUUGAUUAUAUCUGAAUGAACAUUUGCUAUGUACAAUGUGCUUGGCUAUUUGCUUUAUAACAUUAAAUGAGCAUCUUCUAUGUGCA
rnacentral:lncRNA from 1 species